rnacentral:rRNA from 1 species
AUUGAACGCUGGCGGCAGGCCUAACACAUGCAAGUCGAACGAGUGGCGGACGGGUGAGUAAUGUCUGGGAAACUGCCUGAUGGAGGGGGAUAAAUACUGGAAACGGUAGCUAAUACCGCAUACCAUCAGAUGUGCCCAGAUGGGAAUAGCUAGUAGGUGGGGUAACGGCUCACCAAGGCGACGAUCCCUAGCUGUUCUGAGAGGAUGACCAGCCACACUGGAACUGAGACACGGUCCAGACUCCUACGGGAGGCAGCAGUGGGGAAGAUUGCACAAUGGGCGCAAGCCUGAUGCAGCCAUGCCGCGUGUAUGAAGAAGGCCUUCGGGUUGUAAAGUACUUUCAGCGGGGAGGCGUUACCCGCAGAAGAAGCACCGGCUAACUCCGUGCCAGCAGCCGCGGUAAUUC